rnacentral:tRNA from 1 species
GGAUGUAGCUCAGUUGGUAGAGUGUUUGCCUAGCAUGCAUGAAGCCAUGGGUUCAAUUCCCAGCACCA